CUCCGCUCUAAUUCAUCAGUCAUAGAAAUAAUAGUUUUAGCAAUUGAAUGGACUGACUGGUUCACUGAUUUUCUAAUAAAACAAAAAGAAAAAUUAGGGCUUGCCUUUAGAAGCUCUUGGCAAUCAUUAACAACAGUGCCAAUGUAGGAAAAAUCAACUUCAUGCCUUCAGAUUGCCUGAACCAUUUGCAUCAAAUCAGUUUCUAAAUCAAUAGCAGAAAUGCCCUUAUUUUAAUCCAACUUAGAGCUUCUCUAAAGCUCAAAGCUUCAACCUGAAGAGAGCACAUAUCACCAAUAAUAGGCUUCAAUUUUGCAGCAACCAACUGACCCACUUCAUUUCGAAUAAUCCAGCCAAGACCAAUUUACGGUUAGAAGCACUAAAUGGUCGGUACCAAAUCUUGGAAGACUGAAGAGUAAUUUUGUUGCUGCAUUUAG
rnacentral:misc_RNA from 1 species